rnacentral:tRNA from 1 species
GGUAGCGUGGCCGAGCGGUUAAGGCGCUGGUUUUAGGCACCAGUCCGAAAGGGCGUGGGUUCGAAUCCCACCGUUGCCA